rnacentral:rRNA from 1 species
UGGGGAAUAUUGGACAAUGGGCGCAAGCCUGAUCCAGCCAUGCCGCGUGUGUGAAGAAGGCCUUCGGGUUGUAAAGCACUUUCAGCGAGGAGGAAGGGAGUUGUGUUAAUAGCACAGCUUCUUGACGUUACUCGCAGAAGAAGCACCGGCUAACUCUGUGCCAGCAGCCGCGGUAAUACAGAGGGUGCAAGCGUUAAUCGGAAUUACUGGGCGUAAAGCGCACGUAGGCGGUUUUUAAGUCAGAUGUGAAAGCCCCGGGCUCAACCUGGGAAUUGCAUUUGAAACUGGAAAACUAGAGUGUGUGAGAGGGGGGUAGAAUUCCAAGUGUAGCGGUGAAAUGCGUAGAGAUUUGGAGGAAUACCAGUGGCGAAGGCGGCCCCCUGGCACAACACUGACGCUCAGGUGCGAAAGCGUGGGGAGCAAACAGGAUUAGAUACCCCAGUAGUCCCUGAGCGGGCUGGCAAGGCGCAU